rnacentral:rRNA from 1 species
ACAUGCAAGUCGAGGGGCAGCGGGGUGUAGCAAUACACUGCCGGCGACCGGCGCACGGGUGCGUAACGCGUAUGCAACCUACCCAUAACAGGGGCAUAACACUGAGAAAUUGGUACUAAUUCCCCAUAACAUUCGAAGAGGCAUCUCUUUGGGUUGAAAACUCCGGUGGUUAUGGAUGGGCAUGCGUUGCAUUAGCUAGUUGGUGAGGUAACGGCUCACCAAGGCGACGAUACAUAGGGGGACUGAGAGGUUAACCCCCCACAUUGGUACUGAGACACGGACCAAACUCCUACGGGAGGCAGCAGUGAGGAAUAUUGGUCAAUGGACGCAAGUCUGAACCAGCCAUGCCGCGUGCAGGAUGACGGCUCUAUGAGUUGUAAACUGCUUUUGUACGAGGGUAAACUCACCUACGUGUAGGUGACUGAAAGUAUCGUACGAAUAAGGAUCGGCUAACUCCGUGCCAGCAGCCGCGGUAAUACGGAGGAUUCAAGCGUUAUCCGGAUUUAUUGGGUUUAAAGGGUGCGUAGGCGGUUAGAUAAGUUAGAGGUGAAAUCCCGGGGCUUAACUCCGAAAUUGCCUCUAAUACUGUUUGACUAGAGAGUAGUUGCGGUAGGCGGAAUGUAUGGUGUAGCGGUGAAAUGCUUAGAGAUCAUACAGAACACCGAUUGCGAAGGCAGCUUACCAAACUAUAUCUGACGUUGAGGCACGAAAGCGUGGGGAGCAAACAGGAUUAGAUACCCUGGUAGUCCACGCAGUAAACGAUGAUAACUCGCUGUCGGCGAUACACAGUCGGUGGCUAAGCGAAAGCGAUAAGUUAUCCACCUGGGGAGUACGUUCGCAAGAAUGAAACUCAAAGGAAUUGACGGGGGCCCGCACAAGCGGAGGAACAUGUGGUUUAAUUCGAUGAUACGCGAGGAACCUUACCCGG